UACGUAGGGUGCGAGCGUUAAUCGGAAUUACUGGGCGUAAAGCGUGCGUAGGCGGUUCGUUAAGUUCGUUGUGAAAGCCCCGGGCUCAACCUGGGAAUGGCAAUGGAAACUGGCGGGCUGGAGUAUGGCAGAGGGGGGUGAAAUUCCGCGUGUAGCAGUGAAAUGCGUAGAGAUGCGGAGGAACACCGAUGGCGAAGGCAGCCCCCUGGGCCAAUACUGACGCUCAGGCACGAAAGCGUGGGGAGCAAACAGG
rnacentral:rRNA from 1 species